GUUCUGAUGUGGCAGAUUAGUGCUAUAGAUUUAAGAUCUAUCCAUAAAGGUUUAAAUCCUUUUUUCAGAAAAAA
rnacentral:tRNA from 1 species